GCGGACUGCGCGGGGGGUGCUGGGAGCCGCGGCCACGCAUGCGCCGCCCGCGACCGCGCGCCGCGGGGUCCGGGAGGCUUCCUCGCGGGCGAGGGGCUGGGGAAGAGGGCUGCGUGGUGGACUCUCGCGAGACGCGCAGCGCAGCGACUCGCCGCUGAGGGACUUUAGGAGUGAGGAGGGGCGCGGAGAAGCUUCGCGGGGCGGAGGGACACAGUCGGAGGCCGAGCAGACAUUUUGCGGGAGAAGAUGGAACAGUGUGGAAAAGGAGAGUGGGAGGCUUCCCUCAGCCGUGGAGUCUGGGAGGCGGGGAGACGUCUCUGAGGUGAAGGACACUACUGGGGAGGCGGCGCAAAGGCCUUUCUGUAGCGGAAAAGGCAGUGGGAGCGGGGACUCCUUUGCCUGGCGGAGGGGUCUGUCGCAGAGGGUGUGGACAUCUCCGGGGCAUCCUCUGAGGGCGGCGACUGUCGCGGACUGCUGCCCUCGCGGAGGGGUUCGGGCCCCGGUGUCUUCCUGUGGGAGCACCUGGGCGACCCCGUCCCGUCCCUUAGGGGGGCGCGGGGCCGCCCCAUCCGUCCCUCAGGAGUUUCGGUGACCACUGCAGAAGGCAGACACAGAGGAUGGGCGAACCGGAAGGAGCAGGAACAGAGGACAAUGCACAGUGCAUUUUAUACUCGAGGUGCUCUUCAUCCGUAAUUGAAAGAAUAGAUAUAUUCAAUAUGUAUAUGUAUGCCUACGUCUAAUCAUCUUUGUAUCUGUAUCUAUACCUGCACCUAGACCUAUGCCUGGACCGUCUACGUCUACAUCUGUCUAUACCUGUAAUUCUCUGUGUUGGAAGGGGCAGUGUUGCCAUGCUGUAUCAUUUGCUAGCAAUGUGACCUAGCAGUGAGAAUGAUGUCAACCAUUGGCUCUCCACACUGGCUGCACAUUAGAAUCACCUCUUGGAGCUUUUGCAAACUGCCGAUGCUUGGGCCCCUCCUACGGAGAUUCUGGUCCUGUGGAUCCAAGAUGACGUCCAACCAUCAGAAUUAAAAAAAAACCGAAACAGAAACGCUCCUCAGAUGAUUUUAAGGUGCCACUGAGUGCCCCUAAAACCUUCUAAGCUUCCACUUCUUUAAGUAAUGAGCAUAAGUGCCCAUUUUGCAGGAUUAGUGAGAUAAUGUAUGUAAGGCUUUUAGCAGAAUUUGGGGCAAAACCACUCUAUACAUGUUAGUUUCAUUGAUAAUUAAUAUUCGGUACUUUAAAAAGCAGCUUUUAUUAUUUUUUUUAAUUACGUGGAGAACAGGUAAACUCAUCCCAGUUAUAAACAGUUCAUAUCGAGUAAAAAGUGAUGGCGAGUAUCCUUACACCUUAUGUGCACAGAGGCAAACACUCUUAGGUUCCCAGGUGUAUCCUUCCUGAAAUUUACCUUUGCCUUUACUUACAAAAACGUUCACCUUUGUGUAAGUCUCUAAUGAUGUAAAUAGAACCAUUUGCAUUGUUUGGUGACUUCCUUUUUUCACUUAGGAAUAGGUCUAUAUAUCUCAGAGAUCUCUCCAUGUCGGUAAAUACAGGUCUGCCUUGUUAUUUUAACGAUUACAUCCAUCACAUGAACAGUGGAAGCACCAUAAGUUACUCAACCGCUCCCCAUACUAGUGGGCAUUUUACGGAGUUUCCAAAUUUUUACUCUUCCAUAAAAAUCUGCAGCAAACACUUUUGUAAAUGUGCCUUUGUGUGUGGGGGUGUUGGAGGAGUUUUCUUUAGAUUAUCCCUACAAUCGAUAGUGCUGGGUCAAAGCAUGCAUUUUACUUUGCAGGUAAUAUGAUGUUAAAUUCUGCCUAAUUGCUCUCCAAAAAACUGUGCCAAUUAGCAUUCUUAAUGAUGAAUGAGCGUGCUUGCUUUCCAUCUCUUUUAUUUCCCCCAGUUUUUUAAGGGAGAUAUUUUUGUUUUAGGAAUGGACAGCCCAUAGCUGGGUAGCAGGACUUAAAGAGUCUCUGUCUUUUCCUUUUCCCUAAUGACAGUGAGCACUUUUCAUGUGCAUAUUGGCACGUGAAGUUUCUGUUCAAGUAUUUCACCUUUUAAGAAGGUGGGGCUUUGUGCCUUUUGCAUUUUGGCGUAUGGUCCAUUUCAAAUUCAUUUUUACAUAUGCAGUGAGGCAGAGGUGGAGAUUCUUUUAUAUUUUUUUCCUGUAUGGCUGUUCAUUUGUUCCAGCAUCAUUUGUUAAAAAUUCUCUUUCUUUUGCAUUGACUUGGCACCUUUGUUGAAAAUGAGUGGAUUGAAUAUGUGUAAGUCUUGCUGGACUCUAUUCUGGUCCAUUGAUUAGCCUCUCCUUACUUUGAGUCUUUGUCUUUUAAUUGGAGAUUACUGAUGUAGUUUGUUGACUCCCUUCCAUUGUCCGAAUUUUAAAAUCAGGCCCAGUCUUUCCUGGUGACAGCAAGGGAUAAGAAAAGCAAAUAAGAGAACUGUCUGACUGCUAGAAAGCCAGUUCACAAACACAUCAGGAGACUGAGCCCAGAUUUUUACUUGUGCUGGUGUUGCCUGCCACUGAUCAGUGGCCAUCAGGUAACAGAAUUAGGCAACCUGGCUUUACCAGCAUUUGCUACCUAAGUUAUGACCGUGUCAGUGAAAGAUAAACAGGGCUACAACCUCAGCCCAAUUCCAAGCCCAUCUCCCACUCCUAUCCUUUGCUAACAGCACAAAAACCUCCCAAACUAUGCCCCAGACCCUCUGCCCAAGUGGAUAGACCCAUAUACAGUUCUGCCUAUAAUCACUGUUUAUUCUCUCCACUUUAUUGGCAUGUGACUUCUGUAAUUGUAGUAUCAUUAACAAGAAGAGGAGACCCUCUGUAUCAGUUUGCUAGGGCUGCCCUAACAAACUUACCAUAGACUGAGGGGCUUAAACAACAGAUAUUUAUGUUUUCAUGGCUCUGGAGUCUGAGAUCAAGGUGCUGGCAGAGUUGGUUUCUUCUGAGAGUCCUGUCUCCUUGCAUCUUCACAUGGUCUUCCUUUUCUUACAAGGACACCAGCUAUAUUGGAUUAGGGUUACCUUAAUGACCUCAUUUUAACUUAUUCACCCCUUUAAAGACCCCCAUCUCCAAAUACAGCCACAUUCUGAGGUCCUGGGCU